rnacentral:misc_RNA from 1 species
UCCCGGUUGGCCCGGGCAGUCUCGUGUGAAAAAUCCAACACACGAUAAGGGUUGCGCUCGUUGCGGGACUUAACCCAACAUCUCACGACACGAGCUGACGACGGCCAUGCAACACCUGUCACUGCGUUCCCCUCGCAACGUGCAAGCUCACACUUGUACGCUAUGAGGGGCACUCUUCUAUUUCUAGAAGAUUCGCAGGAUGUCAAGCCUUGGUAAGGUUCUUCGCGUAUCGUCGAAUUAAACCACAUGCUCCACCGCUUGUGCGGGUCCCCGUCAAUUCCUUUGAGUUUUAAGCUUGCGCUCGUACUCCCCAGGCGGGGUGCUUAACGCGUUAGCUUCACAGCCCAGGGGGUCGAUACCCCGAACUAUUAGCACCCAUCGUUUACGGCGUGGACUAC